rnacentral:tRNA from 1 species
GGAGAGGUACCGAAGUGGCCAUAACGGGCCCGACUCGAAAUCGGGUAGGGAGUUACACUCCCACGUGGGUUCGAAUCCCACCCUCUCCG